UCAUCCCUCUCCUUCUUGCUCAGACUACCUCUACCUCUGGUUCAGACAACCAUCCACCCAGAGCGGCAAUGACGAACUCCGAUUAACGAGGACCAGUGACAAAUUUGAAAAAAGAGCCAGACGGUCUUGAAAAGCAAAGAAUUAGGUGAUCUUGCUCGAAUCACGGCACGGACUUAGUGGCCGGAUUCAUACUGAUUACUCAUUUAGUUGUCCAAUCGAUAUGGGAGCAUCAUGGUAACUUCAUUGAUUUUAGUUGAGUAUUUCAGGACCUAUUUUUUGGUUUUUUCAAUAGUUUUGAGUAUCUCAGCACAACGUGUUUUCUUUUUUGUGUUUGAGUACAAGUAGCAUCACGAGCUGCAUAAAGAACAACCACAAAGGGAGAGCCUAUACAAAGCAGAGCUUGCAACACGUUCAGUUGCCUCGUUAGCUUCACAAUGGACCCACCAUUAUCUGAGAGAGGAAAAAGGGGUGUAGUUGAUUGUUUUCAAUAAGGGAAAAAUCCUCCAUUCACCUUCCGAGAGGAACUCUGCUUGUGAAGUUUUCAUUUCACUAAAGUACACUUCUUUCCUAAUAGAAUCGGAAGUUUAGUAAUUUCCAAAAUUGUGUUGCUUGAACUUUGAUAGUAGACAUGUAAAGGACUAUCCAAUAUAGUAGUUACGUUGGUUUUGUAACUCAGACAAAGUUUAAUACCUUAUGUAUUCUUAAGAAGAACGUCUAUGUUUUCAUGUACAUCUGAAAGUGCCUUUCUCCUUUAAAGGAUUGCAGUU